rnacentral:rRNA from 1 species
CUGCUGCCUCCCGUAGGAGUCUGGUCCGUGUCUCAGUACCAGUGUGGGGGGCCUUCCUCUCAGAACCCCUACGCAUCGUCGCCUCGGUGGGCCGUUACCCCGCCGACUAGCUAAUGCGCCGCAUGCCCAUCCGUGGCCGGGAUUGCUCCCUUUGGCGGCCUUGGGAUGCCCCAAGGCCGCGUUACGCGGUAUUAGACGGGGUUUCCCCCGCUUACUCCCCCUGCCACGGGCAGGUUGCAUACGUGUUACUCACCCGUGCGCCGGUCGCCGGCAACGG